rnacentral:lncRNA from 1 species
GUGUAGCUCAUUAGUGUGGCAGUGAAGUGGACAAGAGGACGACAUCAAUAAUUGAAAAUGGCUUACAAAUCCGUCCUCAGCAUCUUGGUGAUUUCAGUGGCCAGCUUAGUUGGAGCUGAUGAGCCGAAUUUCGUACCUGGCGCCUUCCCAGCCCAGACGAGCGCAGCUGCAGCGGCAGCCACAGCAUAUUCACAGCCGCAACCAGUGCCUGCUCCGUUAUACCCUUCAAAUGAGGGUAACUCUAUUGAAAGUGACAACUCUCUCCAAUCUUACGAAGAACCAUCUGGCUUCGGAGUCCAGACUGGUUAUGAAGGCUACCUUGUCCCGGAGGAAGAGCCCACCGCACUUAGCAUCAUUUCCACCCUCUUCCCUCAGCUGUCCGGAAUCAUCAACUACAUUAGUGGAUUGUGGUCACGUAGCUCCAAUGUCGUCUCCGGGGCUGCUGGUGUUGUCGCCUUGGGUGGAGUCCUCACCACUCUCACUUGCGCUUUCACGCCUCUUUGUACGCUCACAUUCGUUGGUCUUGCCAGGGAAAAUGUCCGCGAUAGCAUGAGGUCUUACUUGACUGAAGAAAACAUAGACACUGCUGCCAACUUCAUCCGUGAAGCUUACGAGAAGUACAAGAAGUUGAACAACCGAGUUCGCAGAAGGAGCGCAAAUAAGAAGAAGUAA